rnacentral:lncRNA from 1 species
UUCAAUCUCGAAAACUAAAAAGAUUAAAUAUACUACCUAGAUGCGUAUAGCGCCGCUCAACUCGCCUUCGAUGGUCGGAGUCUAAUCAACCAUCAGAGAACAUCAACAGACUUGUAUAAACACGUAGAUCACAUAUCUGAUGUCUGAUUCUUCAUUUAAGUCGCUGAUCACUCAUAAAGCAUCCAAACAAUCUCGAUUGUUCAAUUUUUACGGAAGUCUGACCAUUGUGAAGUUGGUCAUUUGAAAGCUUGUGAUGAGUAGAACUCAUCCAUGUGUUCUGAUCAACCCAACAUCGUCAGAGGUGGUGGGAAAAUUGCAUAUCCGAAUGGUGCACAUUUUCUCUCUCCACUAAGAAACAUAAAUUCUGAUCACCUUUUUUUAACAUCUCCACUGUAGGUUUGAAGCCCAUGUUGAGACGGAUCAUUUGCCAUCGGUUCCAGUCGCUGACAUCGCCGAAGAAGGGAGAUUCAACGAUUCAAAAUUUUGGUGACCAAAAAUUUACCUUCUCUGUUCGUCGUCUACAGUCGUUGUCUACCAUUGUCGCUGCUACUGCUGAGUUCGUCGUCAUCCUGUCUCCUUCCGCCUGACCUCGCUGCUCCUACCUCCACCUCUAUCCUCAUCUACCAUUAAUAGUAGCCAUGAACUUUCUCUCUCCUUCACUCUUUUUUUGAUUUCUUUUCCCUUUUUCCAUUCUAGAUCCUUUUUUUUUUUUUUCUUUAAUCCCGGUAAAUAUUUGUUAGGCCCUAAACUUGUGUUAAUCCUUUUAGUUAUAC